CAGCAGCCGCGGGAAUACGAAGGGUGCAAGCGUUGAUCGGAAUUACUGGGCGUAAAGCGUGCGUAGGCGGUUUGUUAAGUCUGUUGUGAAAUCCCCGGGCUCAACCUGGGAAUGGCAAUGGAUACUGGCAAGCUAGAGUGUGUCAGAGGAUGGUGGAAUUCCCGGUGUAGCGGUGAAAUGCGUAGAGAUCGGGAGGAACAUCGGUGGCGAAGGCGGCCAUCUGGGACAACACUGACGCUGAGGCACGAAAGCGUGGGGAGCAAACAGGAUUAGAUACCCGCGUAGUCCCUGUCUCUUAUAC
rnacentral:rRNA from 1 species